CGACCGAAGACUUACACAAUGAGCGAUGGCUUUUACACUCUUACUGCACACUUUUGGGCGCUGCGCUGCUAUUUCGGCUUUUGCAUAACUUUUAUUGUUGCAAACACAGCUGGCCGAAUUCGGGCGAAGAGCGCCGACGAGCCGAGCGCGAGGAGUCGACGAGAGCAGAACGCGGAAGUGAACUCGCUCGUAGCCGACUGUUGCUCAUCUCCCGACGACGCCAUUGUCCGUGCACCGCGCCAGAGUGUGUGUGUGUGUGCGUGUAUCUGCGUCCUGCGGACGUGUCCUGAAAGCUGGAGCUGGCAAUGCGGCCGGUAGUCGCAUCGUCGCAUCUGGCUAACGCCGCCAUAAAACGCAACGCAUUCAAUGUGGCAAGCGAAACAAUGAGCUGCUUCUGCCGCCGCUGUUGCUCCUGCUGCUCAUCGCUGUAUCCUUCGAAAUUGUCCUAGUCGCAAUCGCAGUCGCAGUCGCUCGUCGUGUCGUGUGUAUGCAAUUUUGCAUUAAUUUUAUUUGCUGCCCUGGCCCAGAACCCCAACUGCAGCUUAGUUGUGGGCUUUGGCAAUCGCAAUUUUAAAACCAGUGUGCCACCGGCAGCAAUUAUAGUCCAGUUCAAUGAACAAAUGUGAAAAGGAAGGCAAAAUUAUUACAUUUUGGCGCCAAAAAGUUUGACACGCAUCUGCAAGUGUGAGUGUGUGAGCGAGCUUGUGUAUCAACUUGGCAAGCAUGUGGCUAGAAAAACUCUGUCCGCUGGAGAGUUGGCACUGCUAACUGCUUUCUGAUACCUCCGGCCACAGCUGGUAAGCCUACUACUUUGGCAUUCAGCAAUUUAUUAACGAUAUAUAGCAAAGCUCCCUGGGCUAUAAUAAAUGUAAACUCAGUGUGUAUUCGCAGUGCGCUUACCUAAUUAUUUCUUUAAAUAACCGUAUAUUGGCUGCCUAAUGAAAGAGUCUCAUUAUCUGAUACACGGACUUUACGUCACUGGAUUACAACACUGCGUAUACGAAACGUUUUCAACAGAGAGCAUCGUUAAGCCCAUUGGCCACAUAACUAAUUUCACAGCAUGUAAUUAAAUAAUUCAAAUAAUAUUAAAUAGUUAAUAUAUUCAAGAGCACUUCACCAAAUGUAUCUCCGGAGAUAGCUUUACGCAAAGUGUAAAUUAAAUCAGCUCACGUGGCCAACUGCGAGUAAAUCGCAUCUCCCUUAUAAAACAGGAAGCCGCAGGCUUCUUCUCCGCGAGGAUAAGCAGUUAGACCGCGAUUUCUGGCACUACUCGGUGGGCCGAAAUACUUGAAAACUAAAACAACGCAUACAUUGUGCCAAAAUAGCCGACGGCAGAGCGCGAUUAUUUGCCGAAAUUCGAAUUAAUAAACAAACUGAAUAGGGCUUUUCAUGCUAAGAAGGGCUGUGAAUUAACGUGAGUGCAGUGCAAAUAAUAAUAACCCCACGUAACACGCAAAUCGGACUCAAUUCAAGUGCACAAAUAUAUGGCUAAUUGUGAAUAAAAGCGAUAUAACGUUUCUCACAGCACUAAUAUCUAAACACAAACAAAAGUCUUUUCAUUCGAAAACCAGGUAAAAGUCAAUUGCGUUUUCAGUCCUCGCCAAUUAUCGAUUUGCACUUGCUUUAGUGUCGCAAAAUAAAUGCACAAUGAAAUUGACUGUCCAAAAGGU
ensembl:ncRNA lncRNA:CR46348 long non-coding RNA:CR46348